GCUGUGUCCUCCAGAUAAGCAGAGGCAGGAAGAUGCCACCUUGGUCAUGUGCUUGCCCAAGUGCUUGCUUUGUGAGGAAUUCAAACCGAUACACGCUUCUCCUGGAAUCAUGCUAUACUUCUUUGGAUACUUCUACAGUGUUCAUGAAAAAGGAGAGGAAGUGGAGAGAUAGAAGGAAA